rnacentral:tRNA from 1 species
GGUAGCUCAGCUGGAUAGAGCAUCGGCCUUCUAAGCCGGCGGUCAGGGGUUCGAAUCCCUUCC